rnacentral:rRNA from 1 species
UACGGGGGGGGCAAGCGUUGUUCGGAAUUACUGGGCGUAAAGGGUUUGUAGGUGGCUUGCUAAGUCAGACGUGAAAUCCCUCAGCUUAACUGGGGAACUGCGUCUGAGACUGGCAAGCUUGAGUGCAGGAGAGGAACGCGGAAUUCCAGGUGUAGCGGUGAAAUGCGUAGAUAUCUGGAGGAACACCGGUGGCGAAGGCGGCGUUCUGGACUGCAACUGACACUGAAAAACGAAAGCCAGGGGAGCAAACGGG